rnacentral:tRNA from 1 species
UCUCUUGUGGCUCAGAUGGUAAAGAGUCUGCCUGCAAUGCAGGAGACCCAGGUUCAAUCCCUGGGUUGGGAA